UCUCCUUUUGAUUUUUUACAGCUGAAGUCUUUCUUAGUCCAUGUGCUGUACAAAAACAGACAACUGUCAGGAUUUGCCCCCAUAGGCUAUAGUCUGCUGAACCUGCUCUAGGAGGUUUUUCAGAGAGCUUACUCAUUUGAGUUUGAAAAUAUCUGACCAGAACUCCCAAUGAGCUAUUCUCCUGAACUCUGAGGCAAACCACUUAGAUGAAACUGGCAGUCCUUCCACCACAGGAAAAGGAAGACAGCUGAUAAGGUACGAAUAGAAUACUUGAACAGAUACCGACAU
rnacentral:lncRNA from 10 species